AUGUCCAUGGCGCUAAUCUUCUUCUCCGUGUGUUCGUUGCUCGGCCUAUCGCUCAGACGCGAUGCUCCGUCCCAUACUUUGUCCGUCUCCGUCUUCAACCGCAUGUUUCAUUCUACUUCAUCAGCUUCGGUUCUGAUUUCACUUCGGUUGGGAUCUCACGGUGGAACUCGUGGCGGUGAAGAUAGCAAGCCACAACGAUAUGAACUCAGGGAUCACAGAGGUGUUGAACCGAUUGAAGUUGAUGUUUGCAAAGAUGAGGAACGAUUUUGCAGAGGAUGA